rnacentral:rRNA from 1 species
UACGGGGGGGAGCAAGCGUUGUUCGGAUUUACUGGGCGUAAAGGGCGCGUAGGCGGCCACCGCAAGUCGAUUGUGAAAUCUCCGGGCUUAACCCGGAAAGGUCAACCGAUACUGCGGGGCUAGAGUGCAGAAGGGGCAACUGGAAUUCUCGGUGUAGCGGUGAAAUGCGUAGAUAUCGAGAGGAACACCUGCGGCGAAGGCGGGUUGCUGGGACGGUACUGACGCUGAGACGCGAAAGCGUGGGGAGCAAACAGG